rnacentral:rRNA from 1 species
AACGAACGCUGGCGGCAUGCCUAACACAUGCAAGUCGAACGAUUGCCUUCGGGUGAUAGUGGCGCACGGGUGCGUAACGCGUGGGAAUAUGCCCUUAGGUUCGGAAUAACAGCUGGAAACGGCUGCUAAUACCGGAUGAUAUCGCGAGAUCAAAGAUUUAUCGCCUGAGGAUGAGCCCGCGUUGGAUUAGGUAGUUGGUGGGGUAAAGGCCUACCAAGCCGACGAUCCAGAGCUGGUCUGAGAGGAUGAUCAGCCACACUGGGACUGAGACACGGCCCAGACUCCUACGGGAGGCAGCAGUGUGGAAUAUUGUACAAUGGGCCCAAGCCUGAUCCAGCAAUGCCGCGUGAGUGAUGAAGGCCCUAGUGUUGUAAAUCUCUUUUACCCGGGAAGAUAAUGACUGUACCGGGAGAAUAAGCCCCGGCUAACUCCGUG